CAAUGGAGAGUUUGAUCCUGGCUCAGGACGAACGCUGGCGGCGUGCUUAACACAUGCAAGUCAAGGAGAACCUCCGCUUCGGUGGAGUAGUAAACUGGCGAACGGGUGAGUAACACGUGGGUAACCUGCCCUAGAGACCGGGAUAACCCCGAGAAAUCGGAGCUAAUACCGGAUAAUGCAACUGGUCCUUCGGGAGAUAGUUGUUAAAGUGGCCUUCGGGUCGCACUUUGGGAUGGGCCUGCGUCCGAUUAGCUUGUUGGUGAGGUAAUGGCUU
rnacentral:rRNA from 1 species